UUUCAAGUUACUAAGGGCGCAUGGUGGAUGCCUUGGCACGAGAAGGCGAUGAAGGACGUGGCAAGCUGCGAAAAGCGUCGGGGAGCCGCAAGCAGGCAUAGAUGCGGGGAUGUGCGAAUGGGGAAAGCCGGAGGAGUGAAGGUCCGUCAUCCUGGAGUGAAUGCAUAGCUUCAGGAAGCGAACGCGGGGAAGUGAACCA
rnacentral:rRNA from 1 species